rnacentral:rRNA from 1 species
AAUCAACGCUGGCGGCGUGCCUAACACAUGCAAGUCGAACGCGAAAGCCCCUUCGGGGGUAAGUAGAGUGGCGUCCGGGUGAGUAACACGUAGGUAAUCUACCUUCGGGUGGGGAAUAACCAGUCGAAAGAUUGGCUAAUACCGCAUAAUGCAGCGGCACCUAAUGGUGAUUAGUUGUUAAAGCGGGGGAUCGUAAGACCUCGCGCCUGAAGAGGAGCCUGCGGCAGAUUAGCUAGUUGGGAGGUAAUGGCUCACCAAGGCUUCGAUCUGUAGCUGGUCUGAGAGGACGGCCAGCCACACUGGCACUGACACACGGGCCAGACUCCUACGGGAGGCAGCAGUGGGGAAUUUUGGGCAAUGGGCGAAAGCCUGACCCAGCAACGCCGCGUGAGGGAGGAAAUCCUUCGGGAU